rnacentral:rRNA from 1 species
AGGGAAUCUUGCGCAAUGGGCGAAAGCCUGACGCAGCGACGCCGCGUGAGGGACGAAGGCCUUCGGGUCGUAAACCUCUGUCCUUGGGGACGAUGAUGACGGUACCCAAGGAGGAAGCCCCGGCUAACUACGUGCCAGCAGCCGCGGUAAUACGUAGGGGGCGAGCGUUGUCCGGAAUUAUUGGGCGUAAAGGGUGCGUAGGCGGCUUGGCAAGUCCUGUGUGAAAGGUCGCGGCUUAACCGCGGUGGGUCAUGGGAAACUGCUAAGCUUGAGUGCCGGAGAGGAUAGCGGAAUUCCACGUGUAGCGGUGAAAUGCGUAGAUAUGUGGAGGAACACCAGUGGCGAAGGCGGCUAUCUGGAAGGUAACUGACGCUGAGGCACGACAGCUGGGGGAGCAAAC